UMUCCCCGGUUWUUGCCUCAGUAGCGGCGAGUGAAGCGGCAAAAGCUCAAAUUUGAAAUCUGGCGUCUUUGGCGUCCGAGUUGUAAUUUGAAGAAGGUAUCUUUGGGCCCGGCUCUUGUCUAUGUUCCUUGGAACAGGACGUCACAGAGGGUGAGAAUCCCGUGCGAUGAGAUGACCCGGGUCUGUGUAAAGUUCCUUCGACGAGUCGAGUUGUUUGGGAAUGCAGCUCUAAGUGGGUGGUAAAUUCCAUCUAAAGCUAAAUAUUGGCGAGAGACCGAUAGCGAACAAGUACAGUGAUGGAAAGAUGAAAAGAACUUUGAAAAGAGAGUGAAAAAGUACGUGAAAUUGUUGAAAGGGAAGGGCUUGAGAUCAGACUUGGUAUUUUGCAUGCUGCUCUCUCGGGGGCGGCCGCUGCGGUUUACCGGGCCAGCAUCGGUUUGGAGCGGCAGGAUAAUGGCGGAGGAAUGUGGCACGGCUUCUGCUGUGUGUUAUAGCCUCUGACGAUGCUGCCAGCCUAGACCGAGGACUGCGGUUUUUAACCUAGGAUGUUGGCAUAAUGAUCUUAAGUCGCCCGUCUUGAAACACGGACCAMAA
rnacentral:rRNA from 1 species